rnacentral:rRNA from 1 species
UCGUGACUGAUUCGCCCGACCUCUGCUCUAUGAGUGUCAAUGGCCGCGGGAUUCUAACCGUGCUAAGGUAGCAUAAUAAUUUUCUUUUUAAUUGGGAGAUAGUAUGAAGGAGUGAACAAGGAGGUUUUGUACCGUUUUUAGAGGGGUAAUUUUAUUGAGGGGUUAGAAAGCUCUUAGGUUUUAGAAAGACGAUAAGACCCUAUAAAACUUUACUAAUUGGGGUUGCAGAUGUUUAAGUUUAGAGAUCUAAUAUUAGUUAAGCUGGGGCGGCUUGUUUUUGUGGACGAAAGGUUUUAUAACAUAUUGAAUGGGAUUAAUGAGCGUAUGUAAGCAAUAGAGAUUAAGUUACUUUAGGGAUAACAGAAUAAUAUUCUUGGAGAGUUCUUAUCGAUAGGGAUGUUUGUUACCUCGAUGUUGAAUUGAAU